rnacentral:lncRNA from 1 species
UUAUUUUCUAGCGUCUCAAUGCGCAUAACUCAUUGCUCAAAAGCAGGGGACCUCCCCUCUUGGGUUGGGCAUUCAUUUGCCCCAUUCAACAACUCUUCAACCCUUUUCUCUAAGGCACCCACUCGUGAGUUUCUUUUCAUCCUCUCUUCAUAUUACUCGUAGAUCUUUCUUGCUCUGAUACCAAUUGUCACGGUUUCAGAUUUUGACCCUGACUUGAAACCAUGCGGCACCUAGUUUGAACUCCUUUCGAGCCAAGUUAGCCAAUAAAUUCAGGCGUAUACCUGC